CCCCUGACUGCAAGGCAGGGCGCACUCUCGCAAGAGGCGAGGGCCGAAGAAUGUUAAACUUCAGUAAUCAAACA
rnacentral:ncRNA from 1 species